GUGUAUUCUCAGCUUUGAGAACUGAAUUCCAUGGGUUGUAAUUGAAUCCUCUGUCAGACCCAUGGGGCUCAGUUCUUCAGCUUGGAUAUUUCUG
rnacentral:pre_miRNA from 1 species